AUUGAAACACUGUUUCCAGUACAAUCACCGAAGUUAAGCAAUGUCGAACCUGGUCAGUACCUAGAUGGUUGAUCGCUUGGGAAUACCAGGUGUUGUAAG